CAUGGCAAUGAACUGAUGUAUAUGAGAAUAAGUUGAGAUCAUUACUAUACUAACCUAUAGGACAAGGCACCCCAGCAUUAGUAAUGUGAGGAAAUACAAAUAAGGAAGAGGGGAGAACCCCCUACAGAAUAUGCAUUAGGCAUGGUAGCAUCAGCGUAAGGUAUUAUACAAGUUGUAUCCCAGCCUGUGGGCAGGAGGAGAGAGAGAUGUAGCCCUUGGGAGGUGCCGCUGGUGACGAUGAGGAAGAUCAUGGCUGACAUUUCAGGUUGUUCUGCAAGGGAUGGUAUUCCGUUGUGGAGAGGGACCCAGGCAGUCACGUCCCGUGGGCAGAGCAGGUGUCCAGGUUGGGGAGCAAAGCCAAAGAUCAGCACCAGAGUCACCUGCCAGUUACCAGAAUCAGGGGUCAAGCCAGAGUCAGAGUCAGGAGUUGAAGCUGAGCGUCAGAGCCAGGACUGUGGUUCCUAAUUACGCAGAAGCAAGGGAGGUGCCUACUGAAUUACCUCCACUACUUUGUCAAGCACAAUGGUUUCUUUGCAGAGCCUCCAUCCAAGGCCUAAGCCAAUUUCAUUUAGAUAUAACCUGAGCACAGCUCAAGCUGGGCUGGCUGCAGAACA